rnacentral:rRNA from 1 species
GAUGAACGCUGGCGGCGUGCUUAACACAUGCAAGUCGAACGGGAAACCUUUUAUUGAAGCUUCGGCAGAUUUAGAUUGUUUCUAGUGGCGGACGGGUGAGUAACGCGUGGGUAACCUGCCUUAUACAGGGGGAUAACAGUCAGAAAUGACUGCUAAUACCGCAUAAGCGCACAGAGCUGCAUGGCUCAGUGUGAAAAACUCCGGUGGUAUAAGAUGGACCCGCGUUGGAUUAGCUAGUUGGUGAGGUAACGGCCCACCAAGGCGACGAUCCAUAGCCGGCCUGAGAGGGUGAACGGCCACAUUGGGACUGAGACACGGCCCAGACUCCUACGGGAGGCAGCAGUGGGGAAUAUUGCACAAUGGGGGAAACCCUGAUGCAGCGACGCCGCGUGAAGGAAGAAGUAUCUCGGUAUGUAAACUUCUAUCAGCAGGGAAGAAAAUGACGG